CUGUCUGCCAUCUGUCAAUCACAUCCUAUGGGACAGUUAUCCACGAGGACACCACCAACAUCUUCCCUUACCGCUUUCUCUACUAUCUCCGCACCUAAGUCCCGAUUUUAGCAAUGCUCAAGUGCGGGCCUGCAUACAUAGCCGGCCAGAGAGACUACUCUACAUCCACAUAUUGGGGGAGAUUUAUGAAAACCUGUACAGUGGAAAAAUUGCUGAGUUGCCCGUAGCAACCAACCAAUCAGAUCACUCAUUUUUCAGAGACCUCUUCAAAAUGAAAGAAGCGAUCUGAUUGGUUGCUAUGGGAAAUGCAGCAAUUUUUCCUCUAGACAGGAUUUGAUAAAUCUCCCCCAUUGUGUCUGGUAAGAUACUAACUGAUCAGAAGUGAAAGUAUCCAGAAUUACUGACUGACUGUCUAACUGCUGCAUUGGCAAAGAGAUCUACUAAAUGCGGACAUCAUUAUCUACUUUAAGGAGCAAGCGAACGCACUGGCGUCCCGGUCCGGACGGAUCUGAUGCCGCCCAUGUCAAUGCACUUUCUUACGGAAUAAAGCAAUCUAUGAAGUAACCAAACUGAUCUAAUUCUCCUGAAGCUGUCGGUUCACUACAGCUGUAUCCGGUCUAAACAGUCCUUUGCGAGUGCCUGUCGUUUAUACAGCGUGAGCACCACCGCAUAUAUGCUGAACUUACACCUCACUGACACCGGGACCGUGCAGAAAUAUACUCGCGAUUAAAACGCAGUGCCAGGUUACCCUUUCUAUUGAAUUGGUCUUUAAAAGGUGGGCAGUCCUAGGAUAUAAGAAUGGGGAUGAAAUAUUCCAUCUGUGCUGCCUGAAGGUAAGAAAACUUACAGAGAGUCUACCCUUAGGGCAUAUACUUACAGCAAUCACAUAACGAGGUCUGUACUGUAAAGUUCCAAAGAGCCCUAAUAUGAUGACGACGAUCUGCAGGAAGUUUGCCAAGAUUGGAGCCCAUUGAUAU